GCAGCUGGUCUCCUGGCGGUUUCGCCUGUUGACGUUGCUGGGUCUGGGAGAGCUGCAUGGUUCAGAGUGGCGUCUGUUUGACAGAACCCCAUGAACCACAGUGUGAUGUUGUCGCUGAGCACUGACCCACCUCAGCCUAGCAGGUUCUGGGAGUGCGAGUUUUGGCUUUGGCCUCACCUCAGAGGAAAAGCCAUGCUGGCUUUUAUUUAGCUUCCUCAUCUUGACUCUCCUAAACUCUUGAUCCUUGACCAUUUUGAGUUUACUUUUAAGAAGUUGUCUAACACUAAAAUAUUAUUUUUUUAAUCCUUAGUCUAUUGUGUUUUGGCCCAUUUUCCACUGGUUGGACAACCCAAACCCAAGGAUGCUGAGCUCCUGGAACAACACAUCCUACAUCCAUGUAGAAUUUAGCGUGAUGCUGCAAGCUACAGUCCUUCGUGGAGCAAGAAUCAGGGAAUAUAAACUGCCUGGCCAACCUGGAUUUAACAAAGCAAAUACAAACCUACUAUUGGCUUUCACAGUUGCCAUAAAAACACAAAGGAGAUUACGGAUCGACGAACGUGUGCUCAGCUCCUCUGGUUCGACUUCAGCUUUGUACUUAAUCUAACAUGCCGGAGGGAAAAAACUGACUGGACGGAUCGACAAAGAGUUUUUGAUAAACAAUGGAGGAAAAGUUCCUGUUUGAAACAUUAUUGAUCAUUUAUGUAUGCUUUUGUUUCAAGGUCGCCCAGUUUGACUUGGAGGAAGUCCACAAAUAAAUGUCAGAAAAAGAGACAAGCCUCCUGUUACAUGAAGGUUUCAGCAAAUAGUAUAACAAAUGCUGUUUUCAUUUCCUUCAAGACAAAUGCAAGCUGAACACUUCCUGGAGAUUCACUUUAUAAAAGAUUUAACUUGUUGAUUUUUCUGUGAAACUGUAAAAGCAAAACUAGUCACAAGAAAUCACAGAAGCCUGAUAUCUUUAUUAAAAUGGCAAUAAUAUUGUUGACUUGUUUCCACCACAAUUAUGCAAAUUGAGCCACAUGUGUUGUAACUACCAGUCCCCACGGGGACUGAAAUGUUUGAGGCUGCCACUUUAAUGUUUGUAACUCACAUUUAUUUGCUUCUGUUUCUCAUGAAAUACGACUCUCUUUGUGUUAGAGAGCAUCAAUAAAUGGCGUCCAAAUGA